CGCGUAGGCGGCCUGCUAAGUCUGGAGUGAAAGUCCUGCUUUCAAGGUGGGAAGUGCUUUGGAUAUUGGUGGGCUGGAGUGCAGGAGAGGAAAGCGGAAUUACCGGUGUAGCGGUGAAAUGCGUAGAGAUCGGUAGGAACACCAGUGGCGAAGGCGGCUUUCUGGACUGAAACUGACGCUGAGGCGCGAAAGCGUGGGGAGCAAACA
rnacentral:rRNA from 1 species